GACGAACGCUGGCGGCGUGCUUAACACAUGCAAGUCGAACGGAAAGGCCCUGCUUUUGUGGGGUGCUCGAGUGGCGAACGGGUGAGUAACACGUGAGUAACCUGCCCUUUACUUUGGGAUAACUUCAGUAAACUGGGGCUAAUACCGGAUAGGAUCUCCUUCUGCAUGGUUUGUGUUGUAAAGUUUUGGCGGUUGGGGAUGGACUCGCGGCUUAUCAGCUUGUUGGUGGGGUAGUGGCUUACCAAGGCUUUGACGGGUAGCCGGCCUGAGAGGGUGACCGGCCACAUUGGGACUGAGAUACGGCCCAGACUCCUACGGGAGGCAGCAGUGGGGAAUAUUGCACAAUGGGCGGAAGCCUGAUGCAGCAACGCCGCGUGCGGGAUGACGGCCUUCGGGUUGUAAACCGCUUUCGCCUGUGACGAAGCGUGAGUGACGGUAAUGGGUAAAGAAGCACCGGCUAACUACGUG
rnacentral:rRNA from 1 species